AUUGAACGCUGGCGGCAUGCCUUACACAUGCAAGUCGAACGGUAACAGGCCUUCGGCUCCUGACUUGUGGCGAACGCGUGUGUAAUAUAUCUGAACAUACCCAUAGGUGGGGGGUAUCACGUCGGAAGCUGUGCUCUUAUCCCGCGUGCUCUCUGAGUGAAAACGGGGGACCUCUCAGCACUUUUUGCCCUCGCACCUUUCUAGCGCCCGAUGUCGGAUUAGCUAGUUGGUGGGGUAAAGGCCUACCAAGGCGACGAUCCGUAGCUGGCCUGAGAGGACGAUCAGCCACACUGGGACUGAGACACGGCCCAGACUCCUACGGGAGGCAGCAGUGGGGAAUUUUGGACAAUGGGCGCAAGCCUGAUCCAGCAAUGCCGCGUGCGGGAAGAAGGCCUUCGGGUUGUAAACCGCUUUUGGCAGGAACGAAACGGUGUCAGUUAAUACCGGGCGCUAAUGACGGUACCUGCAGAAUAAGCACCGGCUAACUACGUG
rnacentral:rRNA from 1 species